UAAGUCGAGCAAUCUUAUGGCGACUUAGCACAUGGGUGCUUUGGUCAGUUUAGACCUCUUUAUGAUUCCUGAGCUCUUAAGUACUCGGCAAACAGUCAUCGCUUUCACAGAUCCGCCCGCAUGUGAGGUCAAAGCUGUACAAGCGGGUUGAAGUAUUYAACGUGUUAUUCAUAAGAGAGCAAGAGAAAAGACAUGUGGUCCACUGUUUACCAUGUG